AUACAUGCAAGUCGAGCGGUAAGGCUUUCACAGUAUUAUUUGAACGGAUAAGUCUACAUUUUAAUGUAGAUACUGUUCUCCAACAUUCACUACUGGCUAGUAGAGAGUGGUCGAAUAAUGCGUGAAAGUACACGAGCGGCGGACGGCUGAGUAACGCGUAGGAACGUACCCCAAAGUGAGGAAUAAGCACCGGAAACGGUGUCUAAUGCCGCAUGUGCUCUAAGGAGUAAAGGAUUUAUCCGCUUUGGGAGCGGCCUGCGUAUGAUUAGUUUGUUGGUGAGGUAAUGGCUCACCAAGACUACGAUCAUUAGCUGGUCUGAGAGGAUGAUCAGCCAGACUGGAACUGAGACACGGUCCAGACUCCUACGGGAGGCAGCAGUAGGGAAUUUUCCACAAUGGACGAAAGUCUGAUGGAGCAACGCCGCGUGCAGGAUGAAGGCCUUCGGGUCGUAAACUGCUUUUAUGGGUGAAGAUUAAGACGGUAACCCAAGAAUAAGGGACGGCUAACUACGUGCCAGCAGCCGCGGUCAUACGUAGGUCCCAAGCGUUAUCCGGAAUUACUGGGCGUAAAGAGUUGUGUAGGCGGCUCAUUAAGCAAGGUGUGAAAUCGUACGGCUCAACCGUAUACCCAUACUUUGAACUGAUGAGCUAGAGGGCGAGAGAGGUUAUUGGAAUUUCUAGUGUAGGAGUGAAAUCCGUAGAUAUUAGAAGGAACACCGAUGGCGUAGGCAGAUAACUGGCUCGCACCUGACGCUCAGACACGAAAGCGUGGGUAGCAAACGGGAUUAGAUACCCCGGUAGUCCACGCCGUAAACUAUGGAUGCUAGCUGUUGGUCGUAUCGACCGAUCAGUAGCGAAGCUAACGCGUUAAGCAUUCCGCCUGGGGAGUACGAGCGCAAGCU
rnacentral:rRNA from 1 species